UGCAAAAAGGUUGAGGAUUCUACGUUGUUGCUAAAGGUUGUCACAACGAUGUCAUAAGGUUGCCAUUUAAACAUCAUGAGGGUCGCAUGCUUUAGGUUGUGCUUAGGUUGCGUGGACGACCACUGUACAACAUUUACUGGUCACAGCUGAAUCAGUUUAAAUUUCAACAAGCCGUCGUCUCAUUCAUCAACGACCGAGGAGACGCUAUUUUCACAUGGAGGUAAUCUUCUAUUGAUAAUUUCUGGAUUUUAAUUAUGUAAUGUUUUCAGCUGUUGAAUUCACCUCAGAUCAGUGUUGCUGUAAUUCCUGAUCUAUGGAAAGAAGAAUUGGAUAAGCGAGCAACGCCACAACUACAGGGCCUGUUCUUUCUCUUCUCAUAGUUUAACUGGAUUAUCCGUUGAAUUUGUUUCUUCCUCUGACUGCUUUCUCCAUACC